rnacentral:rRNA from 1 species
UACGGGGGGGACAAGCGUUGUUCGGAUUUACUGGGCGUAAAGGGCGCGUAGGCGGAUCUUCAAGUCAGAUGUGAAAACUCCGGGCUUAACCCGGAGCCUGCAUUUGAUACUGUUGAUCUUGAGUACAGGAGAGGAGAGUGGAAUUCCAGGUGUAGCGGUGAAAUGCGUAGAUAUCUGGAAGAACACCAGUAGCGAAGGCGGCUCUCUGGACUGAUACUGACGCUCAAGCGCGAAGGCUUGGGGAGCAAACAGG